ACUCCACGGGAGGCAGCAGUGGGGAAUUUUGGACAAUGGGCGAAAGCCUGAUCCAGCAAUGCCGCGUGAGUGAAGAAGGCCUUCGGGUUGUAAAGCUCUUUUGUCAGGGAAGAAACGGUGCGGGCUAAUAUCCUGCACUAAUGACGGUACCUGAAGAAUAAGCACCGGCUAACUACGUGCCAGCAGCCGCGGUAAUACGUAGGGUGCAAGCGUUAAUCGGAAUUACUGGGCGUAAAGCGUGCGCAGGCGGUUUUGUAAGUCUGUCGUGAAAUCCCCGGGCUCAACCUGGGAAUUGCGAUGGAGACUGCAAGGCUAGAAUCUGGCAGAGGGGGGUAGAAUUCCACGUGUAGCAGUGAAAUGCGUAGAGAUGUGGAGGAACACCGAUGGCGAAGGCAGCCCCCUGGGUCAAGAUUGACGCUCAUGCACGAAAGCGUGGGGAGCAAACAGGAUUAGAUACCCUGGUAGUCCACGCCCUAAACGAUGUCUACUAGUUGUCGGGUUUUAAUUAACUUGGUAACGCAGCUAACGCGUGAAGUAGACCGCCUGGGGAGUACGGUCGCAAGAUUAAAACUCAAAUGAAUUGACGGA
rnacentral:rRNA from 1 species